rnacentral:rRNA from 1 species
UACGUAGGUGGCAAGCGUUGUCCGGAUUUACUGGGCGUAAAGAGCGCGCAGGCGGUCGUUCAAGUCGCGUGUGAAAGCCCCCGGCUCAACUGGGGAGGGUCACGCGAUACUGAUCGACUGGAAGGCAGGAGAGGGUAGUGGAAUUCCCGGUGUAGUGGUGAAAUGCGUAGAGAUCGGGAAGAACACCAGUGGCGAAGGCGACGUGCUGGGCUGCAACUGACGCUGAGAUGCGAAAGUGUGGGGAGCAAACGGG